GGUGAAAUGGCUGAAGAUAGGCGAUAAAUUGUAAAUUUAUUUAUGAGUAGGAAUUCUUUUACCA
rnacentral:tRNA from 1 species